UGUGUCAAAUGUCCUAUCAAA
rnacentral:piRNA from 1 species